rnacentral:rRNA from 1 species
AUGAUGGCAGCUGAUAUCGAGACGGGAUCACAGGACGCCGCCGGCAACGACGUCAGGAGCGCGUACGCCGAGCUGCUGCGCAGGCGCAGAUUCCUGUGGCGGCUGACUCUGCUCGAAGUCGUCUUGAUCCUCGGCAUCGGAGCGCUCAUGGCGUGCAUCGAGCCGUCCACCGCCGGGCCCAAGGUGUACCUCGCCUCCCGCGUCGUCGGAUAUGCCGGCCAUGUCGUCGCCGUGUGCUGGGGACUCUUCAUCGUUUACCAAUGGACCCUGUCUGCUAAAGAACUCCAGAGGAUCCUAGACUCUAUCAAGUAA